rnacentral:rRNA from 1 species
GAUGAACGCUGGCGGCGUGCCUAAUACAUGCAAGUCGAGCGAACAGACGAGGAGCUUGCUCCUCUGACGUUAGCGGCGGACGGGUGAGUAACACGUGGAUAACCUACCUAUAAGACUGGGAUAACUUCGGGAAACCGGAGCUAAUACCGGAUAAUAUGUUGAACCGCAUGGUUCAACAGUGAAAGACGGUUUUGCUGUCACUUAUAGAUGGAUCCGCGUUGCAUUAGCUAGUUGGUAAGGUAACGGCUUACCAAGGCAACGAUGCGUAGCCGACCUGAGAGGGUGAUCGGCCACACUGGAACUGAGACACGGUCCAGACUCCUACGGGAGGCAGCAGUAGGGAAUCUUCCGCAAUGGGCGAAAGCCUGACGGAGCAACGCCGCGUGAGUGAAGAAGGUCUUCGGAUCGUAAAACUCUGUUAUUAGGGAAGAACAAAUGUGUAAGUAACUAUGCACGUCUUGACGGUACCUAAUCAGAAAGCCACGGCUAACUACGUG